CGGGAUGUAACUCAGCUUGGUAGAGUGCUGUAUUUGGGCUGCAGAUGCCGCAGGUUCGAAUCCUGUCAUCCCGA
rnacentral:tRNA from 1 species